CCAAACCCCAGGCCUGUCACACACGGUAAACUUCAAACUGUAACGAGACGGAACUGAUGUCACCUGAGCUGGAUGCCAAGGCUUUUGCGCUCAAUUUGACAGACAGCAGUGGGUUUGGUUGCCCUGGUUGGCCAGGUAGGUGGCUGGGCUGCGGAUGAGCUCGUUACUAAGUUCGAAGCCGAGACAUCUGUCCGGGUCGUCCUAGCAGUCCUGGCAGUGCCGAUUGUCCUGCCAGACCGGAAAUGUUGACAGCCAAACGAGUUUGAUGGAUGCGAGUGCAAUUCACUGAAAUACUUGUUUUCCAUUGCAAUCAGCAUCGGAUUGGAAGUUGUUUUUCGCUAUUGACGAAAUCCGGACCAGGACCCCCAACCCGGCAAGGAGCUGCAUAAAGCGCACAUUGAAAAUUAAUUGCGCCCAGCCCCGAAUGCGAGCAUAUCCGUGUGGCAGGUACAUAUCCUACGUGCGUGAGCUGCAAACCGCAGGAUGUGGAGCGCAGGAUGUGGAUGGGAGGAUGGUUAGGAGAGGAGAGGGAACGAAGGGCGGCGGACGGGGGACCAGAACCCCACAGCCGUGGCCGUGUGGCGCGCCUUUUAUGAAAAAUUAAUUUGCCCUUUGUACCGCAAUAAUAUUCCCCUUGAUCCCAGCAAAUUCCCCUCGACUGUGCAGGCAACCGGAGCGUAUGAUUAAUUUUUUGUCCUGGUCUCAACGAAGUGGUACCUCUAAGAUUUUCGGCGCUUAAGUGGUCCGCAUUCGCAUGCCAAUUAAGCGCCAUUGAUAUUUGUGUACCCAUGCAGCUCCACUUUACUCAAAGUGUAAUUAGCAAAUGCUCCUUUUGCAUAAAGU
ensembl:ncRNA lncRNA:CR44790 long non-coding RNA:CR44790